UGACACAAGAGAAUAGGUACUGAUUAACAUUGACUGACACAAGAGAAUAGGUACUGAUUAACAUUGACUGACACAAGAGAAUAGGUACUGAUUAACAUUGACUGACACAAGAGAAUAGGUACUGAUUAACAUUGACUGACACAAGAGAAUAGGUACUGAUUAACAUUGACUGACACAAGAGAAUAGGUACUGAUUAACAUUGACUGACACAAGAGAAUAGGUACUGAUUAACAUUGACUGACACAAGAGAAUAGGUACUGAUUAACAUUGACUGACACAAGAGAAUAGGUACUGAUUAACAUUGACUGACACAAGAGAAUAGGUACUGAUUAACAUUGACUGACACAAGAGAAUAGGUACUGAUUAACAUUGACUGACACAAGAGAAUAGGUACUGAUUAACAUUGACUGACACAAGAGAAUAGGUACUGAUUAACAUUGACUG